rnacentral:rRNA from 1 species
UACGGAGGGUGCGAGCGUUGUCCGGAAUCACUGGGCGUAAAGGGCGCGUAGGCGGCCCGAUAAGUAGGGGGUGAAAUCUUGCGGCUUAACCGCAAGGCUGCCUUCUAAACUGUCGGGCUGGAGCACGGUAGAGGCAGAUGGAAUUCCCGGUGUAGCGGUGGAAUGCGUAGAGAUCGGGAAGAACACCAGUGGCGAAGGCGGUCUGCUGGGCCGUUGCUGACGCUGAGGCGCGACAGCGUGGGGAGCAAACAGG